AGUGAACGCUGGCGGUAGGCCUAACACAUGCAAGUCGAACGGCAGCACAGUAAGAGCUUGCUCUUACGGGUGGCGAGUGGCGGACGGGUGAGGAAUACAUCGGAAUCUACUUUUUCGUGGGGGAUAACGUAGGGAAACUUACGCUAAUACCGCAUACGACCUACGGGUGAAAGCAGGGGAUCUUCGGACCUUGCGCGAUUGAAUGAGCCGAUGUCGGAUUAGCUAGUUGGCGGGGUAAAGGCCCACCAAGGCGACGAUCCGUAGCUGGUCUGAGAGGAUGACUAGGCACACUGGAACUGGGACACGGUCCCGGCUCCUAAGGGAGGCAGCAGUGGGGAAUAUUGGACAAUGGGCGCAAGCCUGAUCCAGCCAUACCGCGUGGGUGAAGAAGGCCUUCGGGUUGUAAAGCCCUUUUGUUGGGAAAGAAAAGCAGCAGGUUAAUACCCCGCUGUUCUGACGGUACCCAAAGAAUAAGCACCGGCUAACUUCGUG
rnacentral:rRNA from 1 species